GUCUUCUUAGUUUAAUGGUAGAACAGUAUUCUUCUAAAAUAUAAAUUCUGGUUCGAUUCCAGAAGAGGGCU
rnacentral:tRNA from 1 species